GUAGCUCCCCCUCGUGCGCAACGCGAGAACGGAUCGCUCGCAUGUCUUCUGCUAGGCGCCUUAUCUUUCCUUCAAAGGAGUUUGCAGUUAGCUUAUCCAGUGGGAGGGUAGUGGGGCUAGUUUCGGUAUAGGCAAUAAGGCGCCGUCGUGACACUGGUAGCCACAGGAAACUUCAGUGCCUUUUGCACAACUUGCUUUAUCUCUUCAACCUACGUAGUGAUAAAGUGAAGCAAUUAUGCGCAAGGAUGUGUUUUAAGCUGUUUUAUCUUUCGGCGUCCUGUAUUUUUGUUUAGUCGCUUCACUUGUGGAGCCAAAUGGGGGCGCCUUCACUCUUAUUACUUCUGCUGUCACUGUGUUCAUCUGCUCCUGCACUCCUCCUCUUUGCAUGAGCAUGUUUUGUUUUCGUAUGUUCUGCAGUUAAACAUUUUCUUUCUGCGAACUCGAACGUUCCGGCAGCGUCGGAAAAAAAGCUGAGGAAAGAACAAAAGGCGAGCUGCGCUGCACUGGGGCCUGGCAACUCUGGGAGCAAGACAAGGGCGCGAUCUCUCCAUUCCGCGGCGGACGAGAGGUGUCCAUAUAUGUGCGUUUGCAGAGGUAGUGACAGGGGCGUCCAGUUACAACUAUUUAUAAAGUUUGCAGGCGUGUUGCGGAGCACGCAGGAAGCUGUCUGUCGGGCUGGAGGAAGCAGCUGACGUAUUUGUUGCAAACUGAGAUCUACGUGACAGACAGAAAGGUCCACCUGGCUCCUGGAGCAGCGAGGUGAACAGCAUGCGCUGCUGAAUACUCAUAUCAGGCCACAUGUGACAGUUGCGAGCAACGUGGGCGACACAGUGCUCCAGCCUUACCGGUGGUGGAAACAGUCUCCGCGCAGCCGGCUACUGGACCUUGGACGUCGGUCGACCAUGAUGUCCAGCAGGAGCAGCGUGCUCACCCUAAGUGGCGAUGAUGGCCAAAAUCUCCCCACCACGGACUUGGAAUGACAAUCCCUCGAUCGGGAGCAACUUGCGGCGAGACCACCGAACAGCCAUCGACCCAGGCUGGAGAGGUUCAGCUCGAACGUCAGGUUUCGAACCUGCGUCAGAGUGUCCACAUAUAUCGUCACGACAACGAGGCAAUCGACACCAUUGCUCAAAAUUCCGACAAACGCGUUGUGCACGCACACAAAAAUAAAGACUCAAAACAGCGCUGGCCGUAAGGCCAGAAGGGGACGACGAUGGCGGCGUUUAGCGCCGAUGACGUACAAGACGAUUCACGCUUCGCGUACCACCAGUCCAACUAAUAAGUAUUUGCGGGGCAGAUUUUCGGUAACCUCAGGAGAGUUUGGGACGGGUCAUCGAAAUAGAGCAUCGGUAACACAGAGGAUUACCAAGUUACCAAGUUGGUAAUGGCAGAGGAAAUGCAAGGAGUGAAACGUUGGCGGAUGGCAUGAAUAGUUCAAAGAACGGAAAACCACGCACGACGGCAAAAUGCGAUGUUCAGGGCGGCGUAUUCUAUUCGCGCAAUGUGUUUUUCCGCCAAGUCACCGAUGCGUCUCGGGACCCUUUUAACCCUGUACUGCACAACGCAGAUUCUGUAUAGUGCGCCGCUUGAGACUUAGUAAUUUAAAUUUGCGCACGUGAAAGUGAUAGUGAUUUUAAUUGAUAAUCAGGUUAUCUUUACGUCCACUACAUGACGAAUGCUUUUCCCAGCGAUCUCCCACUACCGCUAUCCUGUGCCAGCUAUUUCCAACUUGCGCUUGCGAAUUUUCUCAUGAUCCCAUCUCGAUUGCGCUUCCCUUUUCUUGGCACCCAUUUAGUAACCAUUACGGUCCACCGGUUAUCGAUUCUAUGCAUUACAUAGCUAGCCCAGCUCCGUUCUUUCUCCUAAUGCCGAUUACAACAGCGGCUAUCCCUGUUUAACCUCUGAUCCACCGCGCUCUUUUCCUGUCUCUCGACGUUACGCCUAACAUUAUUCGUCCCAUUGCUCUUUCCGCGGUCUUGUGCUCGAGCUUCUCCGUCAACUUACAAGUUUCGGCCCCAUAUGUUGUCACAGGUAGAAUGCACUGAUUGUAGACCUUUCUUUUUUGCGGCAGUGUUACGCUCCAAGUGAGGACCUGGUAAUGCCUGCCGUACGCACUCCAAGUCAUUUUUACUCUUCUGUAAAUUUCCUUCUCUUGAUCAGUGUCCCAUGUGACUUUUGAGCUAGGUAAACGGACUCCUUCACAGACUCUAGAGGCGGACUUUCGAUCCCGAACUUUCGUUUCCUUGCCAGGCUAUUGAUCGUUAUCUAUGCUUUCUGAUGUUAAUCUUCAACGCCGCUAUUGGAAUUUUUCUGUUAAGGUCCGCCAUCGUUUGUUGUAAUCCUUCCCCAGUGUUGCUGAACAGGACGUCGUCAGCAAACCGAAAGUUGCAGAGAUAUUGGCCGUUGAUCCUCACUCCUAGGCCCUUUCCACUUCAAUAGCUGGCGUACUUCUUCCAUACAUGCAGUGAAUAUCAUUGGAGAAAUUGUCUCCUUGCCUGACCCCUGUCUUGAUAGGCGUCUUUCUACUAUUCAUGCGGAGAACCAAGGUAACUGUGGAAUCUUUUCAAAUCUUUCCGAAGAUAUUCCCGUAUGCCUCCUGUACUCCUUCAUUACGUAAUAUCUCCACGAAAAUGCAUUUGUUUCCGUGGAGAUACCAGCAGUCAUAUGAAAGCCUUCUAGACAGGUUGAUUGCACUCUGCAGAUUUGUCUAUUACCCCGAUGAUGGGGAGGAGAAGGAUCCGUUGUAGAACAUACCUUCCCGCUGCCAGCCUGGCUUCUUGUGUUACUGAAGUAUUGGAAAUUAUCUUCGUGAAUUGGCUGGAGCCAAGUGUCUGUUGUGAUUACAUUAGGAAUCUAACUACAAAUUGCUCUGCUAGCUAUCUUAACCCUUUCUAUUCACGAGAAAUGUGCCCUCUAUGGCAAGAAAUCGAGGAAAUGCGACGAAUUCGAUGUUCAGCUGUGUAUGGGCACUACAGGGUUAAAUACUCCCCAGCAAUACUUGAUGUUCGAAGCGCACAGCAACACUGGCACAAACUCUGCAAAGUAAGUAUUCGAAGACUUCAGCAACCAGAGGCCUCGUAAGCACACAACGAAGCCUGGUCUGACAUGUUACUUCUACUGCCAUUCACAGUGAAUCUUGAAGACGUACCACAGGUUAAGUACGUUAAAAAAAUCUCGCGAUGACUUGUGCCGCGCGCCUGUCAACUGGCGCCUAUCGAUUGUGUAGCCGACCAAGAUAUCCAUGCCGCAGGCAUUUUGCGCAAGCUAAGCGAUCGCCGUAUAAGAAUGAAGAGCCACUCCAAUUGACCUACUUUAGCGUUUGCAACCAAACAAACUCGUUACGUACGAAAAAAAAAAUUUGCUUUCUCGUCUCCCCGCAUGUUCUGAACGUUAGUGUUUCUGGGGUUUGCGCGCGCUAUGGUAGUGUACGGUAUUUGGCCAGUUCAACGUUCGAUCGUUCGCGUACGCUAAUAGGAGCAUUGUCGAAUGUCGCGGUACCCACGAUUCCCGCUUCAGCGCGAAUUCUCACGAUAGCUGCGCUCUGACUCUCGUUGAUAGCCAGCAACUAUUGUGGUGAGCUUGCGCUUUUUCUAAACUCUUGAAACGUUAGUUAUGAGCAUAUACCGCGUCCAGUUUCAGAGCUCGGUCGGCAAUUCCGGCGCCCGUAGGCCUAGCGAGACUCAUCGGCAUAGCAACAGCGAAGUAUUUGGUUACGGAUUGUCUUGGCUGGGAUGUGUAUGGCGCGAGGCACCACACGGCGGGCUGUUUUGUAGCGGCUUCUUAACGUUCGCGUUACUGUAUGGUAAACGUCUUCAAAGGACGCACAAGGUAACGUCCCGCAAAUGUGAUUACGUUUAACGUAUGUAAGACGACGAAGGCUAUUCGAAAACCGUUUAGUAUCGCAUGUACUUUCGUGCUGUUUUGUAGUUCUAUCGCGUACUUUUCUCGGGAGCUCUAUCAUCCUUUUCUCUUGGAAUGAACGGAUGUGCCCUUGUACUCUGCCGAAGGCUUCCUAAAAGCUGUUCCAAAUGUUCUGCGUCUAAAAUCUGGAUUCUCUCUAUUUAUCUAUCUAUCGCUCGAGCAGCUAUAACCGCCUUUCGGCUCUUACGUUGUUCAGUAUGUAGGAGUCGCCGCUAAGAGGUUCUGAAACUGCUUUCAUGCCAGUGUUAAUUUUGGCAUGCGUACUUGCGAUAUACUUUCGGUUCCCUACAACUUUUUUUUUCGGUUAAUGGGAUUUCGUUUUUCUGAAGGAAAAUGGUUUUGUGGCAUUUUCGUCACUUUGACGAGUGCGCCCAUGUAGACUACAUAAAGAAAGCUGAGAAUGUCAGUCUGGAGGCGGUGUGCUCAUUUGUGCGUGCGCGUGCUGUUCUACAUACCCAGAGAAAUGCUUU